UACGAAGGGUGCAAGCGUUAUCCGGAAUUAUUGGGCGUAAAGAGCUCGUAGGCGGUUUGUCGCGUCUGCCGUGAAAGUCCGGGGCUCAACUCCGGAUCUGCGGUGGGUACGGGCAGACUAGAGUGAUGUAGGGGAGACUGGAAUUCCUGGUGUAGCGGUGAAAUGCGUAGAGAUCCGGAAGAACACCGGUGGCGAAGGCGGUCUGCUGGGGUAAUGCUGACACUGAUGCGCGACAGCGUGGGGAGCAAACAGG
rnacentral:rRNA from 1 species